GUGCUUUUCAACUUGUUGCACCUAUGCGUGUUCCCUUUUCAGAUACAGUCUCGAGGAUAUCCUCUCUCGGUGAAAAGACGCGAUCCGAAAUAAGAAAAAAAAAAAAACAGUUUUGGGAUUAUUCAUUAGAGAGAGCAUUGUUAAGGAAAAAGGGAAAAGUUUAUACCUCGAACAAGAAAAUGAACGUACGACUCAUCCUACGCUUACUCUACUAUACAAUUUCACUGAAUGUGAUUGUAUUUUUUUAAAGAGACAAUUUCCUUCGUUCGUAUCUCUUAUAACACAUUUCUCAUCUUAGUAGUUACCGAAUCACUUAAAAUAUCUAUAUAACAAAUUUGAUACAUUAUUGAACGUUGUGUUAGAUUUAAAGGUCAUAUAAUACAUGGCGAUAAAACAUGAGGUUAUAAAACGCGUUGUGAUAUUACACGUUGCAAUAUAAUCAUCUUUCAUAACACGUUUCUUAUUUCAAUAGUUAUUAAAGUGUAUAUAAUUACAUGAAAUUUACUGUACGGAUUACUAGACAUUUUUGAUUUCUAAUUGUUCAUUGAAUCGAAUAUUUUUACUUCGAUGUAACCGAUUAUCGAUAAUCAUUCGAUUACUUAUUAUUAUGGCACUUGACAUAUGGUCACGUGACUUUAAUUUACUGUAAUCAAUAAUUAAUUCUGUAUAUCUGUAUUUGUAAAUCGAAUGGCAAUUACAAUAAUUGCGAAGAAGAUUACUGCGUAAAUUUACUAUUUAAUUGUAUGCGUUGCGUGAUUCAAAAGUCAUACAAAAAAUAAACGCUAUUGAUCGAUGCGUUUCUUCGCAUGUUUCAAGGUAUGGUCGAAUCAAUAACUCGAUCGAUUUCGCCUAUUUAAUAUACGAUUGUGUUCGAAUGAACACAACAUCAACUUUUUUUCUUCCUGCCUUUCAUGCUGUGUAAGAUUAUUUUGUUUCCUGUUCGUUCAUUUUCUCGAAGUACGUCGCGAUACUUUCUAUCUGAACAGGAACAUACUUUUAUGAAAGCUAUCCUGGCGAUCAGUAAAAUGGGGAGGGGGAUUUCGAUUUAGCAACAAUACUGACAAGUAGCAAGUGCAACCGUUCACCGUUUACAUGUAUACACAUACCGUCGAUAUCUAAGAUCGCUAGAUAAAGAUAAAAGUUUCAUGCUAUUCCAGUGAUAUGAAGAAGAAAAAGCACGUGUGUGUCCGUUUUUCAUUCUCGGUGUGUAUGACUGGCGAAAUUUCUGAGAUGACAGAUCGAGAGGUUAUCGGCGUUUGUCAUACGUUUGCCGAUUUCUUAUACAGUACUGAUUUUAUGAAUAAUUUUACAUCACUGUUUAUUGCAAAAUCGUGAUAGGGUCAUUUAUCUGACAUUUUUUCUAAAAUUAUUCUUUUUGUGUACUAUUCAUUUACAUAGUAUCGUAUAAUAGAAAUAGUGGAAUGGCAGGUUAUGUUCUCCUCCAUGUUUGACAUUUUAAAACGGAAUAUCAAUUACUUUUCUCAGACCUUUAUCAGAAAAUUUCAGUAUGUUUUAAAUAGUUAUUUCUCGUAAGAAAAUUAUACGUUUUAAUAUUUUAUUAAUGGAUGAUGUAACACUUCUGUAUGAAAAAUAUUUGACCCACAGCAAAGAACUUUCUAUUUACUUGAUCUAAUAAUAAGUUAAGAUUUUACUUAUUAUUACAAGGGAAUAUUUGUUUUCUUACUGUUUUAUAAUUAGGAAUUUCCUUAACCUAGGAAAGUUUAUUGUGAUGUUAUCGGUGUAUAUUUUCCUUAUUAACUUUUCUAUUGGCUUUUAUCAAACAACAUUCAAUAUACAAAUUCUAAACAAAUAUGUCUGGAACUGUGUAACAGAUGUUCUAUUAAAAAUUUGAUUAAAAUUAGUUUUGAGUGGAAAGGUAUUAAAGGAACGGAUUAGGAUUCAUCCUGUCAACGUGGGUUCAAAUCUCUCAUAGGGCAUUUAGGAUAAUUGAAAGGAAAGGAAACUUAAAUAAAAAUAUGAAUAACUGCAAGUACAAUGAGUAUUCCCAUAGUUUGUUCGACAUUGAUAUUUUUUUAUUGGCUGCAUUUAGAUGAUACAUAAUUGAUUCAUUUUAUGCAACAAGAUCAACGGAUAACAAUAAGUAAAAAUAAUAGGAAAUAUAGAAGUAUUAAGCAGUCGAUAGUUAAUUGAGAAAUUGAAAACAUACAUGAAACUUCAAUUGUCAGAGUUAAAAAAUUCUUGAAUAAAUACAAAAAAUAUGAUACUGCUAAUAAUUCAGACAAAUCUAAGAAGAUUGUUAGAAAGUUAUACAAAACUGAUGGUGUUAGUUAUGAUGAUGUCAUAAUAUAAUGAAUACAUAUUACAAGCUGUAUCAGAGGUUUUUGAGGAAAAAUAGAUAGAAAAAUUUAGGUGACUACCAUAAUCGCUAAAUCUUAAUGUUAUUAAGCAUCUGUGGAAUAUUUCAGUAUGAUAGUUAAUUAUUUUUGAAAGUUCCAGUUUAAAAAUGAAUUGAAUGUAUUGCACAGGAUAGAAGAUAUAUAAACACACAUGUUGCGUUUACAAGUGACAUUCGAGUGCAAAGUGGUUUUAGAACUGUUCCAAAAACAAAAAAGGUGGUUGUACGACGUGAGAACGCUCGUGAACGAUCUACUAGGUAGCCUGGCUCGUUUCGAGUGGUUUUCGUGGCGACGAUCAACAACGCUCUUGUUAUGCUCCUCGAAUCACAGUCGUGGGACUUGCACGUAACGAGUGUACGUGCCACUCACGCGAAACAAGUCGAAAUUGCCUUGUACAAAGGACUGCGAAACGCGAACACGAUCCUCUCGACUGCGUUGGAAAAGCGGGAUUGCGCUUUCCAAGCCGAGCUCUGCUCUCUUUCUGUUCUCCAUCGAACAUUCGCUCGUUUCAAGGCUGCGGGACCAAUUAAGCGACAAUGGGACUCGAUCGGUGUACGGGUUGAUCUACUCGUGCAAAAAGGACACUCGCGAAGGUUCAAGGGGAAUUAUGUAGUAACCCUACACCGCAUACGUCAUUUUUCGACGCGUACAUUUAUUUAGUAUACGAAUAUUAAUUAUGGUUGUGUCAUCGGUGGUAGAGUUUUCGAAUCAUUUAAUUGCGUCAAUUCUGUGCAUAGUUGCUGUCAAUGUUUGGCGAUAUAACGGAAAAUUAUGUUUCGUAUGACGAUUUAAUAAUUAAAUGCAAACGAGGAGUUCGUAAAAAUGCAUAGCACUUUACGUUUACUGUUGUUUUUUUAAUGUCUGGUUUAUUUUGAGCAGUUUAUCUUUGAUUUGUUUAACGAUAUCGCAAAAUCUUUAUCGUUCACUUGCCACUUAUCUCUUUACGAAAAGUCAGACCUUAUCAGUUCUCGUAUCAUAUGCAUUUAAUAUGUUUAUGUUAGCAUAGCGAUAAUAUUCGGUAGCUAUUUCUUGAAUUUAUUCGAUAAUCGUAUCUUUUAUCAUAAAAUAGUUAAUGUCAUCAUAGAAGGUUCAACGUUCUCCUUGAAUUAGUUCUUCGAAUUGAUGGCUUACGUUAUUUGCGGCGAGUCCGAACUAAAAAUAGGGAACAUCUGGACUUGUUGGCAAUACAUGCAGUUGAAUUCAUAUAUUCACCGCGAAUGGAGCCAACAGCUUAGCCCAGAUCUCCCCAUCGACUCGAUUAACUUCGCUGCCCUUAAUAUUGUAUUGUACACCCUGUACCACGUUUACAAUUCGAUUGAACCGUGAGCAACAUUACAAUCCGGCACUCUUUUCACGUAGAGUGAUUCGGGGAGUCGGUAAUAUGGCAAGAAAAUGAAAAAUUGGAAAAGAGCUCGAAAUGUUUGAAACAACUGCACUUCCGGCGCCGGACUAUUCGAUUUCGCGUAACGCGAUUGUUUAACGUCUUUCACCAUUUCGGAUUUACAGCUCGAUCUCAUUACAGAACCUUGCGCGUAUAGAUGAAGUUACUUAGGAUAUUGACCUUUACGAUAUGUGUCAAGAUCAUUGAAAGGUGUACUUGGUUCUGUAAUUACCGUAUUGUUUCGCGAAGUGUCAUAUUUCUCGUCCAGAUCGCGAAUCAGUUUGACCUUGCUGGUCACCGAAUAUGCGUACCUCUUCGACACUCGAAAAUCAUCUCGAAUUUGAAUAUUCCACAAAGCGUCGGCGACGCGCUCGCGAGAGGAAGCGAGCACGAAGAUGAUGCGUACACGCGCCCGCACGUAUCCGGUUUCUGCGACGUAUAUUGCGUUCAAUAUGCUUGUAACACGACAUAAUCCUAUAUCGUGUUCCACGACGAUGGGUGCAAUGCACGUUACGAAUACCCGCAACACAGACGGGGACAGUCUUUUAAGCCGCUUCCUUCGACGUAAAUCUACACCUUCGCCGCAUGUUGCUACCACCUCGAGACUCCAACCUUUUGCUUCUUCUUCUUUUAAUCCUUUCGAUACGCCAGAGUCUACUUUCCAACAGUAUUUGGACUUAUCGCUCGUGGCGAUCUCCUGCACUAAUGACCACGGUAGGCUAGGCUUCCCUAGGAAAAACACUGACGUAGUGGAACGAAGCCCCGUCACUACCGUGUAAACGUUUACUCACGGAAAUUUUACAAUAUUUCGUAUCGAGCAAUUAUAUUCGCUUUCUCGAAAUUUCUACCAAUCAUUUUUCUAUUGGAAUUAGGACUUUAUGCCGAGGAAGCAUAGUCCUUUAGGAUCUUGCGGUUCUCGCUCGUCAUUACCGCAAUUAAUCUAAGCGCGUAUAGUACUGUAUAUCUGUAGUGUAGAGUAACCAGCAGGAUAAUGAUUAUCGUGAUAAUUUCACCGAAUGAAGUUGGAACGUGUAAAAACGAACGUUUCUUGGUUCAUCGUUGGAGACGUUAUCCGAAGACCGUAAUAGAACAUCAAGCUCGAUAAACGAAUUUUUCAAACGUUUUUUUCGACUUGCUUCCCUAUCGUUGAGCGGAGCGUCGUCAUUGGAAAUUAUUGGUCGGUGAUCUAUUAAUUUCAUCGGCGGUUAAUUAUCCCUGUAAAGAGGUCAACGUCGCGCCGUACCAUUUAGUCAUAACAAAUGUUACGCGUUCGCGAUACGAUCAAAAGGGAGCGAUUAAACUCGACACUUAAUACGACACUUAUCCACAAUGUGGUUGACCUAUAACUCGCGUCGUUCGUACGAGCCACCAGUGUGUAAGACACACGGGCCAAUCAAGAUUAAUCAGGAGGACCGUCCGCGAAAAGAUGACUUAACGACCACGUCAAAUGGAGCACGUGGGCGUUUUACUUACUCGAAUAAUGUACUACCUUGCUAUCUAUGUGUUAUCUUUGCAGUAUUAAUCCAAAAACAUUAAUCUGUCCGUAUCGAACAUUUAAGUAAUUGAUAUCUUUAUAUCGAUCGAAUUAUUCGGAAGUUAUUAAGUGUCAGGAUACGAUGUAACAUUUUAAAAUAAUGUUGAAAGCAAAAAGUGAUUUGGCAAUAAGAGGAGAAACGAUCGCUUCGCAUUCUUUUCACCGUGUAUCGAAACGUUGCGAUUGCAGCGUGAAAUUUCGAGUUCGUUGCACUUUUAAUCGGCCAUCCGAACUGAAAGAUGAUCGAUUUAAAACGGAGUCGAUACGUUUACGUAUCGCUUGCUUGUAAGCGCUUCAAAAGACCGGAAUGAUUGUUCGCAAAAAGAAUGCUUUAAUCGUUGGACAUGCAUUGUCCACUAAGGCCACAUAUUUGGAACAAGAAGGAACUCGUGUUCAAACCCACAAUUGUACAGCCUAAAAGACAGUUAUAGUAGAAAGUUAUUUUCGUGAUCGACGUUCGGAGGUACCUUUACAGGUAGUAGUCCGUGGAGAACUUAUUUUCGUGUUGUCAGUGUCGUGCUGGGGCUUCUCUUACCGGAAGCUCACCGUCCUGUUGCGCGGACCCUUCCGCUUUUUGCAUACAGAUACACUUUAAUCGAACGAAUCGUUCAUUCGAUCACGUUUUCACGUAUUUACUUUUGGUUACCUGUCACGCGCACGAGAGUAUCUUUUAUCGGAUACAUCUUUCGUGUAAAACGCGAGUUCUACAAUUUUAUACCCAAACGAAACCAAGAUAUUUGACCCUGGCGAGCUGUUCAAUUGCGAAUUUCAUUUCGUUAAAAAUAAAUGCUGAAUUUGACAAACAAAAGAUAAAUCGAAGUCGUGAAUUCCAAACGACACAAGUUCACCGAUUAGCAUUCUCACAAAUAUGUUUUCCUUAGUUCCUUCCAUUUCCCGCUAAUUUUGUUCGUUCUUUUCACCAGAUAUAAAUAGUCUGCACCUAGAUAUCAUUAGUCACCUGCUACUAAUUAUGAUUUUACAAUUUAGGCAAAUUGUAACAAGUUAUCCGUGUUCGCAAGGUUUGUUGCAUGUCGCAGUUGCCUUUCCGGGGUUUUUUGCAACGCUCGUUGAGGUUCAAUGCAACUUCCGUCUUUUCAUUUUCCUUCCUGUUGCUUUUAUUGGUUAUGCCGCUAUUAACAGAUUUCUUUUGUAUGCGUAUCUCUUCUGCGUUACAUUUUUAUCGCACGCUUCCAAUUGGCUGUGAAAAAAUAAUGGAUUGCGGUGCAUUUGAACGCAGUGUUGUGACAAUAGCGUAGAAAGGUGUGUGCAAAUCAAUCUUUGUACACGAAAGAAACUAUGACGAGCGGUAUCAUCGUUCGCGUGAACAACAACAAGAAAGGAACGGUAUGAUCGUCGUUGGUCUUGUCUGGCAGCUAUAAGUAAGUCGGCGCCAAAUAAUUCAUGAGAUAAUUUCUAUCGAACGAGAUACGCGCCGCUCUUGCUGCUUACUGCUAGCCUCGAUAACAAUUAUUGACUCAAUUCUCCGGGCACGUAAGUAAAUUGUAUUUAACGAACUGUUCUGCGAUGGAUCCUCUUAACUCCUCGCCAUCUAAUCGCGCGAUUGAACGUUGCCGGUGCUGAAACAAAUGUCACUGGAUGCAGCGGACGAUGUUUGUAUUUCUCUGAGUUAAUUUUUUCGCUCUUUAAUUUUGAAGACAAAGAGAAAAUUUUUAAGAUAAUACACAUUACCAUGACUACAAUGUCCUUGAAUUAUUUUCGGAAUUCUAGCGUGUCGCUAAACAGGGAAAAUAAGGUGAAACUCGAUAAUCCGGAUUUUGCACGUAAUUACCUUCCCGAUUGAGAUACAGGGUCAAAAGUUGGUAUACGACGUCGUUCGUUCGGUAAGCUAUCGAACAGCGCGUUACGAUCUUUUCAACAGCUUAUUUGCCGUACCCUUCGAAAAUUUGAAAGUUGAAACGCUGUGCUCGAGACAAGUGCCUAAUUUACCCGACGCUAACGGCUAUGCUGAAAUUAGAUAAAGGCGAGAAUUUGUAGCUGAGGUAGAUUGCCGUAUUACCGUAAACGGAGUUGUGGCAGCGGAAAAUUCUUGCAGUUGCAAUCUCCUGUUGAAUCGUUAAACGACACAAGAAAUUCUUGAAUGUAUCCUCGUGUUUUCUUUUCGCUCUGUUUAUGAAAUUGUUUCAACGAUUGCGAUACGAGGCUCGCGAGAAAACAGGUGAUAAAAAUACGCGGUCAUAAAUGGAAGGUUAAAUCAAGGCUGCGGAUGCAUAUGUUCGUACUCUCGAUAAAGAUUACGCGUUUUAUAUGCGUGACACACAUUCCGAUACGUUCAACGUAAUCUCCUGCCCUCGACGACGGUGACCACGACGACAACGUUUCAACAAUGAUCGCUUUUAAAACAGCAAUACGCUUGUUUGAUUUACGAAGGGGGCAAGUUUCGUUUAUUCGUUUUCUUAUUUUUUACGCAGCUAUCCGUGACGAUGUAAAAAAGAAGACACGAAGGAAGUGGUUAUCUCGGCUCGUUAGUCGCUCUCUAUUCACCGUAAUUUUUAUAUUUCUUAAAACAUUUAUCUACCGAUGCACCAUCAAAUAUGCAUGCUUUCUCCGUUACGUCGAGUGAAGUAAUAGGUUCGCACAUAUUUUUGUAACAUCGAUCGAGAACGAAAGUUUGUUAUCCCGAUGACGAAAAGUAAGGCGAAUUUUGCCAGUAUAAUAUAUCGAAUUAGCUUAAAAGCUUUUACUUCGUAUUACGAUGGUUUUUACUUUACCAUACGAAAUCUUUUAUACGUAUUUCGUGUCACAGUGUUUUCUACCUACUCAGUGAUUCAUUAUUUUUCGGUGUCGUGAGCGUGUACAAAAUGUUAAGAAACGCGUUUCAGCUUCUUCGAUUUGUUCAUAUUUGAUUGGUCCUCCAGUUGGCCGCGUAUCGAUCGGUCCGGCAAAAUGUCUCUCAUAGAAGAAUCGACUAAACGAAAUAGCGCGUGCUCCGCGAUUCGUUGUUUCGCUUCAAUAGGAACGACUUCAUUGAAUGACAAAAAGCAGUUUUGUAACAGUAUCAAUUGAAGGAAAUUCGUACUGAAAGUCACGAUGCUUAUUCAUUUUCUAAAGCUACGCACACUAGCUUUACGCGUGUAGUAAAGAGACCGGGAGAGAGAGUUCUAUUUGUGUUACGAUCGGUUAAGUAUAAUACUGGUGUUACGGUAAAUAUGUAUGCACAUAUGGUGAACGAACGCGCAUACUAAUUUUACCGGUAAACGUAUACGCGAUGAAUUUCAAAUUUUCUUUAAUAAGAACAAAUGUUGACGCUAUCGUGGAUGCGUUAAGUUAUUGCAUGUUGAAUGACCGGUUUCGAAACAUGCAAUUUCGAUAAGAUUCGAUGAGAGAAGUAUCGCGGAACAACGCUUUUAUCGCAUCGAUUGAAAAUUUGAAACUCGAGGAAAACUGUGGUGUUAAUUUUGAUAUUGAUUUCUUCGAUGACUAACUGCUGAUUAUAGUAAACUGGCGAUUGCGAAAGACAGGCUAAUAUUUUACUGUCGUAAUCGUCGUAGUAGUGGUCAUGGCAUCGAAACGUCGUCGUUUUCUUUGGAAGAUGUUUUUGAGGUCAAAUGGCAUUAAGGUCUUUGUCGAGCUGUUUAACUAGAAAACUGACCCAGACCGAUAUCGAAUUUUUCUUUCAAGUUCGAUCGGUAGACCGAGCGGAACAGUUUUGAUGAACAUUAGCAUAUUCGUAUUCUUCCGUUCUCUCUUUUGACCAACGUUUUGGUCCAUUUACUUACCAGAUACUGCUUUCACCGCUCUCACCGUGACAAAUCGGUCCAAUUUGCCGUAAAAUCAUUGAUUUCUGAUAUCGUGGAUCAGAUUCUCUUCUGUUGUGCCGUUGUUUUUCUCCUCCGUCUCGUUACUGGAGCGCAAACACGCAAAACUGCGCCCGUAUACGGCAUCGAUUCAGAAUUGAUUUCAAUAAGAAAUAGAUAUCGCGGCGGUAGAGAAUAUAACAUUACAAUGAUAGCGAAAUGCUAGAAAGUGGUAGUCCUUAGUAGUUGGACUGUGAAAUAGUUGAAAAGCGGAGAAGACGAGGAAAUUGGGAUAUUAAGAAGAUUAUGCUCCAACGAUUUCAAGCGAUAAAUCGUCGAACCAGAUGGAAACUCGACACUUUCAUCGAAGAUCGCGAACUUUUCUGCGAUAAUAAUACAAAUUUCCAAAGUAGUUAAAAAUAACUCGGGUAUCCGUAUAUGCAUAAUCGCGUCUAAAUGCAGUGUUCAUGCAUUUAGUAAAGUAAGCAUUUCAUUAAGAUUACAGGGAAAAAAUGGAAAUGCUCAUUCGAUUAUGAAACAUAAAAUGCACGUUUUAGAUAAGCGCUGAUUGUAGUAAUUAUUGUUUUUGUGUAAAUAGUUUUUUUUCCUUGAAUCACUCCGUCUAGUCGAUUACUGGGAGAAAACAGAUCAACGCAAGUAGAAUGGAAAAGAUAGUUAACGAUAAACAAAUUAUGAUAAUUUCGAAGAACGUCGAUCGUGAAAUACUGAUUACGUUGACGAGUUUCAAGGCCAAUUAGUACGAUUACCGUUCCGCGUUAAAUUUGAUCUACUCGUCGAUACUACUGAUAAGGUGAUAGAUGAUUUAUGUCCAUUGAAGGGAGUUGGUAAUUAUUUCUAUUAUUAGAAAUUCGUGACUAUCGAAUAUUUUCCUGACAGAAUUAUUUUUAAAGGUUUUACGAACCGCAACGAUUUCGACAUUGAAUCGUCGAAGAAUGUAAAAUUCGAAGAAACCACGGAUCGAUUAAUUGUUCAGAGGUUUCUUCUGGCAAUGCAGUUAUCGAAGAAGUUUACUGUGCAGCUCGUUCGAUGCACAAAGAAAACUGAUUUGCAAUUCAUGCCGCGUUAGCUGUGUCUCGCCGAUCGGGCUAAAAUAGUCACCUAAUAAAAACACGGAGAAACGAUCGAACGCGUUGUUUCAUUGUCACGUUACAAGUUCUUGAGGGAAAAUACGUUUCCGAUUAAGAAUAUCGGCAGGAAAUAAUAAGUGUCCGCGUAUUUACAAUUAGUAUGUCUUUUAAUUAUUCCACUAUUCGUUCUUCCGCUGUUAUUUUACCGUAGAGCGAUUUUUCAAAGCAAACGCGGGUCGAGGAGCGUAGUUACGGGGUUAAUAACCACGGGGUAAAAUGCAGAGCCGAUGAAUCGAUAGGGGUAUCGAGAUCUCGCAGUCUCGUUUUUCAUGGCACAAGCACGUCCCGGGGAAUAAUGGUCGCUUUCACCGAAAACCACCGCACACGAAUCUCGAGGUCUUCGGCCCUUCUCUUUCGUGGCUGCUCCUCGUUUUUUCCUUUUCUUUUAUCCCGCCGUUGCAGUAUCGACAUGGCAGUUCUGGUAUAAAUAUAUUAAAUGGUCUAGAGAAAAUUAAUCGAAAUUUCCGGUUCGUUGCUGACCAAUUCACCUGUUGACGCAAUACGACGAAACUUUCGCCGCGGCGAAUAACCGUUUCAACGAUCCGGUAUAGCUAUAUUCAGGAAAAGUGAAUUUCCUUGACACUCGCUCGUACGCGUAUCAUUUCUCGCGAACACGCUGCAGGAUAGAGAAUGCUAAUUGCGUCGAACAUCGUUCGAAAUUGGAAGUUUUCUAAAGUUCUAGAACUCGUUAAUCUUUCGCAACUGGUCGAUUACAUCAGUGUUCGAACGAGUAACGAGUGACUAAUAAUAAGAUAAUACGUUGUACGAAAGAAGCGAGAAUUAUACAUCGUGCAACGUUUAUGAAUAAACGUCUUUCAUGUUUCUACAAAUAACGAAGGUAAUCGACGACGGUCUAUUCCAUACAAUAAUUCCUUUUCGUUAUCUCGUUGUCUCGAACGGCUCUUCGAUUAACGCACUUAAUCAUCGCUCGACUAGACAAGAAUUUCCUCGCGUUAGUUCGAACGCGAUUAAAACGCAAUUAAUAUUUCAGUUAAUUUGAAAGAGCGAUUGAUCGCGUUGCGUCGACGCGAUUGAAACGCAAUUAAUAUCACAAUUAAUUACCAAAGGCUAAUCGAAUCGUUGCGUUCCACGAGUAGAGGAGAGUAGAUUUUGUCCUGUGACUUUCGAGGUGACGUGCGUGGGAUUUCUUUAUAGCAGAUAGACAGUUAGCAGGACUUCGAAAGAUGCUAUACACUUCGACCGGCUUCGUCCUUGCAUUUACGUAAGCAUCGUUCGAGUACGCGUUACGCAAAUAACUUUAAUUACGAGCCAGUGCCGUUCUUUGCGAAUACGCGAGAUGUUAACGAACGAUUAAUCGAACGACUAAAAAACUAGCGGUAAAAACGGAGGAGGCCGUAUACGAUAUAUUAUGCGAAAUAUAUGUUACAUUCGAAGUUGUCGAACGCGAAUGGAACGGAAGUGCCAUCGGGGGUGUCCAAUUGGCACGCAUCGUGUAACGACGCGUUAUAUCGCCGCGAGUCACCUUCCUACGUAUCCGUUAACCACGAGUCAGUUCGGCUCGUUGAUCUCCGUUCACGGCAAUAUAACGAGAGUCUCCCGUAAUCGUUUGUCAAUCUCCUUCGCGAGUUACUCUUCCGAAGUCGAGGCGAGUAACGACGAUGGUAUCGUUGCGGUGCUCGCUGACCUGAAAAUCCUUAGGCCGUGUCGACGUGUUCCAGCACAGUUCGUGUCGCUUUUUUUCUUCAGAAAUUUCUAACGAGUUUCAAAUGCUGGUCGAAAAAGCGAAUCGUUCCUCGAGACGCUCUAACGAACUCCAAUAAUUGCAUUUCGUUGUCGUGAUCGUCGGUAAUUACCAUAAUGCUCGCCGAUGUUCCAGUUUUAUAAUCUUCUUAGAAAUUUCUGGAGAUAUCGAUCGCGAGAUAUCGAUGCUUCGAAGUUCGUUGUCCUCGAGGUAGUAUCAACUUCUAAUCUCGUAAACGUUUCUUCGUAACCGUGAGUCGCUAAUCUUGCCGGCUUUCUUUCGUGGAUACCUAUUUUAUCGAUUUUUCUCCGGCUGCGGAUCUCGUUGACGCGUUCGUCGCCGUAAAUCGCGCAUCGUUAUUCUUUCUAUGGUGCUCAAUUACGGUCGUAAUGGUACCGUGGAUGCGUUCCUUCGGUAGGAACGCUAGCAAUUAUGAGCAACGACGCGAACUAAUCGUCGACGAAUUAGAGAGGCACGCGUUUUUUUCAGGCUGAUUCAAACGAUAGGUAUGUCGAACUUCGGGUCAAAUUAAGAUUAUCGAAACGAGGCUUGUAUCGCAUUCGCUAGAUAAGCCGAAGACUUUCGAAAUAAAGCCUCGUUUAUAUCGUGAAACUUUGCACGAUAGCAAAAUAUUUAAAACGAACAUUGAUUUUCUCGCAGGCCCGUUAUCGACCCUCGUGUUACGAUUGCCGCCAAUAGCCGAGGAAUGUCCUCGUUAGCACGUUGCUUCUUAUAAUUAGCCAUUUGUAUGCGAUACUAAGCGACAAAUAAUUAUGUAUUUUACCUUAAGAAUAUUAAUCGUUCGUUCGCGUGGACAUUUUCACGAAACCGAUGCGUCACAAGCGCUAUUUAGAGAUACUUUACUGUCAUCGAAUCGUAUCGGUCUUUUUGCGUUUGAAAAUUUCUUCCUGUGGCGCUUGAUCUAAACCAGCUGGUCCACGGUUUGUCGCGAACAAAAAAUCUGUUUCUUGCGCGAGAGGAAAAUGUGUUUCGUGUUCGUAGCACUUUUUUCUCGGCGGUUCAUCGUCUCGAUGGGAGUGUAACGCAACGCAGGAAGGAAAAUGCACGCCGUAUUUGUGUACGCGGUGAAGCGUACUCGAUUGUGAAAAUUUCCCACGUGUCAUUGAACCGUUACGUUCACACACGAGAACCGGGACCACAAUAGGGCACGACCUUUUCUCCACGAUUCAUACGCCGACCAAUGGAAAGUGUUACGAAUACGUGCUGUACUCCAAAGUCUUUUCCGACACGCGUUUAUCCUCCUCGACUACCGCUACAAAACUUUCAUCUACUAUUCGCUACUACAGUACCAACUACGAAAGUAUUUGUAUCUUGAUAAAUAUAACAAUGUAAUCUUGACACGUUUAGUAAACGGUCGUAAUAUUAAUUGCGAUAAAAAUCGUCAAAUUUACACUGAGCAGGAAACCUCCUUCGUGUUUACUCCGUAAUUUCACCGGUAAAGUUUCUUUAAAUAUACAACUCCUCAAAGUUUAACGUUCUCCUUUGUGAUUCCAUAAUUUCUUCGAGGAAGUAAAGAAUUGAAAAUAGAAGUUGCUAAGACACACGUAAUUCGGCAAAGACGUUCACCAGAAAUACGUAAGCUAACAGACGCAGAAACAUCUAGAACCGUUUCAGUCUUUUCGACGUUGUAUUUCUUUCGUCGAACAAUGCUCGAGAAACCACGGCUCGCAAACUUGGAAAACGUGGUAGAAGCAAGGAAAAAAGGAACUCGAUGCUUUUUACCUCCUAGCAGUCGUAAUCUAACACAAAGACAGCCAUUUUGUAUAACCUGUUUUAGAAGAGAACGUUGAGUAACUUUUACCUGAUUCUAUCCAUCGUUCGAGAACAGCCAAUCUGGAACGAGAAUUUUAAACGCCGCGCCGUCGACAGUUUUCGCGGAAGUGAAUAUUUUACGGUCGAGUGUACCAUGAAAUAUUAUCUCAUUUUUAAAAUAUUAGUAUAAGGAAUAUAAAAAUAAAUAUUAGUCAUAAGGAUGAAUUUCUGAACUAUUAAAAAAUUGCAGAUUUACUAAUACGUUGUUUUGCUAUUUUUGGAAAAAUUGGUUCUGAAGUCGGUUCACGUGUGUGGUUCGCAGUUAAUUGGUUUACAACAGCUUUCAAACAUCGCGUUCGCGGAUGGUAAUUGAUUUUUUAAUUGAACUUUGCAUGUAAUCAAAGUUUAUUUUUUUCAGCAUACCUUUCUUCUGUACGAUUGUACAGUCUGGUAGUUUAGCGUUUAAAACCAUUGUUACUUUUCCUCGAAUUGCCUCCAAGUUCAAUCAAUACAGAAUCCUGCAAUAUUAAUGGUUAGCUUUGGAACGGGAAUGCUAUAGGAAUAUUUUGUUAUCGGUUGGACAAUCGUUCCAUUUUUUUUUACCAAUUUUUGCGCGUGUUAAAUUAAAUUUGAUUAAAGUUCAAAGAUCGUGACAAUCUUGCAAACUUCGACCAGGCACUAUGUGCGAAUUAUUGUGGUAAUUUUAAGAGAAGCUGCGAGAUAACGUAACUAGGAAAGAAUCAGUCCGUGAACUUUUAGAAUGCAAACGCGCGAGUAAAAAAUGAAUGCAUAUGUUUCGUCGGGAAAAACCAGGAAUAUUUUCCAAAAAACAGAAGAACACGUGCAGAGGGUAAGCAUCCUCCCGAGAUGUUCGGGAACGAGUUCUGCCCGGAGCUAUUUUUACAGGGUGUCGCGUAUGAUACGAUACGGGACAAUCGUGAGUCACGUUUAAAAACUGGUUCGUGGAUUGUGCGUUACGCGUUUGCGCAUGCGUUGUAUAGGAGGUUUCAGGAUAAGGGACCGAUACUAUAGUUACAAUCGACAAAGUGUCGAUACUGCCUUUUCCGAUAGUUGCUACAAGUUAUCUUUCGUUUACCGAGAAAACCUUUUAAAAUCGAUGUACGUAUGGGAGAGAACAAUGCGUGUGCCGAUUCUCAGCGUCAGAUACCGUAAACAAAGAGUAGGGAAA